rnacentral:lncRNA from 1 species
GAAAACAAAGAAACGAAAGAAAGAAAAAGAGAAGCUAUUCUUUGAACACAAUUGGAGCGCGCUUCCUGAGAUCGUUGAGGUUCCAAUUUCGUAUGCUAAAUUGGUCCACCGUUCCGUCGAGUUUUUUGCUAUAUAAGUUUUCUGCUCUCAAGUGUUUUCAGAUUUCAUUUGGCAAAAUAUAUCUAAGGUCCGUUUCUUUUCUUGGUGCUGUAUAAUUUAGUGAUAUUUGUGCUUUAUUUAAUCGUAGUCUCAUGUUUAGUUAUAAUAUUACUUUCUAUUUACCAUAUUUUGGAUAAUCUUGCGGUGGAAGAAAAAAAUGAGAUAUGUGUUGCGCUCAUUCACACUUGCUUGGCCAGUAUAUUUUCAUGUGAUGUUUUGUUUGUUUCUUGUAAAUUGAAAAGCAUGGUGUUUUGUUAGUUUCCUUUCCCAGUACUUGUUCUGGUUUUUUCAUGUCGUUUUUAUUAUAUUUUUCUUAAACUGUAAGUUCUUAUGUAAAUUGACCAAAAAGGAGAGAUUGCUGAUUUUUUUUUUUGUGAUGCCUUUCUCUUUAAAGCGCAAACGUGAAAGGUUGAAACAAAUUUUGGAGUCUGAACCGAUCACAUAAAUAAACUAGAUGAACAUGUAUAUUUUUUUCUCUUAAUGUAAUUAGUUAAAGUACCGUUUUCAUUUUUCUUAGUUAAUAAGCUUUCAAUUUAUCUAGAUAUGGUUUAAACUUAGAAAUAUGCUAAUGAAUCCAAUAAGUGGGCUGCCGGAAGGUUUCUUUUUGGAAAAUAACUCACAAAUGAUCCUAAUUUUCUUUAGGCCGAUUUAGAUUAGUAUUGCGAUUAUGUAUAUGUUCGCGUAAAAUAAUUACAAAUUUAAUUUAUAAAACUGACUCGAGGAAUGCGUUCGCGCAACCUCAACCAAACUUUUCUUAAUAAAGUAAAUAAAAAAUUAUUUAAUUGUGGACACGUUCGCGUGACACAAUUUUUGACGCGCUAAAAGAAAAGAGUAUAUGUACGCGUAACUCAAUUUUUUAAUUCCAAAUAAUUCAAGUGCUUUAAAAGCGUUAAAAAGAUAAUUGCACAUAGGUCUUUAAAAUGAGUAGCUAAACAAUUUAAGCCAAGUAAUAAUCACUAAGCGACCGUGCUAGAACCGCGGAGCCCGGGAGUGCCUAACACCUUCUCCCGAGUUAAUAGAAUUCCUUAUCUAGAAUUUGUGAUUUGCAGGUUUUUUUUAUAAAAAAAAUAAAAUUUUCCUCGAUUUGGUAUUUUAAAAUAAACCGGUGACUUGGGACACCAUAUAAACUAUUCCAAGUGGCGACUCUAAUAAAUAAAAUAUUUCCAUUUCGAAUAAUGUCACUUUAAUAAGAAAAACUCCCCAAUCCCCCUUAGGGUGUAAAAAGGAGGUGUGACACAUACCAUGGUCCUGGGCAACAAAAUCAAUGGAGGCCAAACCCGCAAGGGCAAGGCAAACAACAUGGAGAAAUGAGCAAGGUAAUUCUCAACAUGGAAAUUGGAACAACAACAACAACUUUGCAAACCGGAGCUCCAGCCCAUAUGUUCCCCCGAAAGGUCAUUAUGCAAAUCAAGGGUCGUCAAGUGAUUCGAAGUUAGAAAGCAUGUUUGAGAGAGUUUUGCGAAAUCAAGAAUAGUCAGACGUAUCUACAAGAAACAUGACUGAGAUGGUUGGCUCCCAUAGCGCAUCUAUCUAAAAAGUAGAGAUGCAAAUGAGAGACCUUUCACGAGAGCAAAUACCAAAGAAAAAAGGGCAACUUCGUAGUGAUACCAUUGCGAACCCGAAGAGUGGCAGAGGUAGCUCGACCUCCCACGUCAUGAAGAUAACUACUAGAAGUGGGAAGGUUCUACAAGGUGACAUUGAGCAAGAGGUUGUCGCGGAAGAAGCCGAACAAGAAAUUGAAGCCGAAGAGCAAAGGGUUGUAGAAGUUGAGAGGGCGCGGGAAAAAGAAGAAGUUCAAGAAGUGGUCAAAGAAGUGGUGAAGGAAAAGGAAAAAGAGAAGGAGACAUCAAAACUCCAACUCCUAUUUUUAGACCUCCUCCACCGUUUCCUCAAAGACUUGUAUGAAGGAUUGAAGAUAGCAAGCUUGAAAAAUUAUAUGAUAUCCUUAAGCAAUUGUCAAUUAACAUUCCAUUCUUGGAGGCUUUCCAAGAAAUGUCAGGGUUUGCCAAAUAUUUGAAGGAUUUGAUCACCAAAAAGAGGACCACAAAGAAUGAGGUGGUGAAUAUGACUCACCAGGUUAGCUCUGUAAUUGUCAGGAGCCUUAUCCAAAAGAAAGAGGACCCAGGAGCAUUUAACAUUCCAUGAUCUAUCGGAGAGCGAGACUUUGCUAGAGCCCUUUGUAACAAUGGGGAUAGUAUCAACUUGAUGCCACUUACCAUCUACAAGCGGGAUUAGGGAUGCCAAGGCCAACAAGCAUUAUGCAACAAAUGGCCGAUCGAUCAAUUAAGCAACGGGUAGGAAUUGUUGAUGAUGUGAUUGUGAAAGUCGGUGAAUUCCAUUUGCCUGCCAACUUUGUGAUUCUAGAUUUUACAAUGGAUAAAGAUAUCCCCAUCAUCUUGGGACGACCAUGCUUGGCAGCCGGAAGAGAACUUAAGGAUUCGGAAGGACAUGAGAUCAAAUUCCGGGUGAAUGACAAAGAAGUCACCUUCCAAUCUUGCAAGGGUAUGAAGUUGCCCCCUAAAUAUGAGAGCAUCUCCGAGAUGGAGGUGGUUGAUGAGAUUGAAGAUGCCGUUGAAGUAAAAUUGGAAGAACAAUGUCUUGGUGAGGCAUUGGCGGCAAUCUUAGUGAAUUUUGAUGGUGAGGACAUGGCGGGAUACAUGGAGUCGGUGAAUGCAUUGGAGGGUCUUGGAUCCUACACUUAUGCUAUGGCAAAGCUCUCUCUUGACAUGGAAUAUAGAGCCACACCUCCCGCUAAGCCAUCCAUAUUGAACCACCGCAAUUAGAGCUCAAGCCUCUCCCGACGCAUUUAAGGUAUAAAUUCUUAGGCUCUAAUAACACCUUACCCGUAAUCGUUUCAUCUUCUUUGAAUGAUUUGCAGGUAGACAGGUUGUUGGAGGUUUUGAGAGACCACGGGAAGGUUAUUGGAUGGACAAUCGCAGAAAUCCGUGGGAUUCCCAUGAGGAUUCAAAAUCCAAUUGCAGAGCAACACAAAGCCAAGCAUUGAGCAUCAAAGACGAUUGAACUCGUAAAUGCAGAAGGUGGUGAAAAAGGAGAUCACUGAGAGACCACAAACAGGCUAUUGGAUGGACAAUUGCAGACAUCCAUGGGAUUCCCGCGGAGAUUUGUGAAUACGGAAUCCAACUAGCAAUACAAAGCCAAGCAUUAAGCAUUAGAGACGGUUGAACCCGUCAAUGCAGGAGGUACUGAAAAAAGGAGAUCAUAAAGUGAUUAGAUGCCGGAGUAGAGUACCCUAUUGCGGAUAGUUCAUGGGUGAGCCCAGUUCAGUGUGUGCCCAAAAAUGGGGGUUUGACCGUGAUAGAAAAUGAGAAAAAUGAGCUCAUCCCAACACGAAGGAUGACCAGAUGGCGAGUGUGCAUGGACUAUCGAAAGCUAAAUAGUUCAACAUGAAAAGACCAUUCCCCUAUGCCUUUUAUUGAUCAAAUGCUUGAUCGGCUAGCGGGAAGGUCAUUCUAUUGCUUUCUCGAUGGGUAUUCUGGAUAUAAUCAAAUCAAAACAUCGCAUUGGAGGAUCAGGAAAAGACCAUAUUCACUUGUUCAUAUGGCACAUUUGCUUUUAGCCGAAUGCCAUUUGGCUUGUGUAAUGUGUCGGCUACUUUUUAACGAUGUAUGAUGUCCAUUUUCUGGGACAUGGUUGAAUAUAUUCUUGUGGUAUUCAUGGAUGACUUCUCUGUAGUUGGGGACUCAUUUGAGCAUUGUCUUGGAAAUCUCAAGCAAGUGCUUAAAAGAUGCGAAGAGACAAAUCUCGUGCUAAAUUGGUAGAAAUGUCACUUCAUGGUCGACGAAGACAUUGUGCUAGGGCACAAAAAUUCAAAGAAGGGUGUUGAAGUUGACUGGGCGAAGAUUGAUAUAAUCUCUAAGCUUGCUCCACCAACUACCAUAAAGGGUGUUAGAAGUUUUCCAGGGCAUGGCAGGUUUUACCGGCGCUUCAUCAAAGACUUCUCAAAGAUCGCUAACCCCAUAUGAAAGCUCCUCGAGAAGGAUGCUAAAUUUGUAUUUGAUGAAAAGUUUCUGAAGGCUUUUGAGGAGUUGAAACUCAAGAUCACCGCGGCACCUAUUAUUGUCACGCCCGAUUGGUCUCUUCCUUUCAAGCUCAUGUGUGACGCCAGUGAUGUGGCUGUUGGAGCGAUGCUAGGUUAACGCCACAACAAGAUUCUUCAUCCGGUGUACUACGCCAGCAAAACUCUCAAUGGAGCACAGGUAAACUACACAGUGACUGGGGAAGAGCUUCUUGCUAUUGUAUAUGAUUUUGAGAAGUUUCGAGCUUAUUUGUUGGGGUCCAAGUUGAUAGUGUAUACGUAUCAUGCGGCUCUUCAUUAUCUUAUAGCAAAGAAAUAUGCAAAGCCUUGGUUGGUACGAUGGGUCUUGUUGUUGUAAGAAUUUUACUUUGAAGUCAAGGAUCGCAAGGGAAUGCAAAAUGAAGUGGCGAAUCGUUUGUCAAGGCUUGAGGAAGCAGGGAGACCACAGGGUGAUCUUGAAAACAAUGAUGGUUUUCCGGAUGAGAAAAUAUUGUCAUUGUCUACAACCUUUGCUCCUUGGUAUGCCGAUAUUGCUAACUAUUUGGUGAGUGACCUUAUCCCUGAUGGUUUGGAAUCAUAUCAAAGGAAAAAUUUCUUGAGAGAUUUCCGGCAAUACUAUUGGUAGGAGCCAUACAUGUUUCGUGUUUGUGCCGACAAUAUUAUCAGAAGAUGAGUUCCCGAAGAAGAGAUGAUGCCAAUUCUCAAGGCAUGCCAUGACUCUCCGAUUGUGGGUCACCAUGGAGGAAAAUGAAUGACGGCGAAAGUUCUUGAAAGUUGAUAUUAUUGGCCGUCCAUCUAAUAUGAUGCCAAUCAAAUGGUCUAGGCUUGUGAUCAUUUUCAACGACAAGGUUCUAAUUCCAAGAGGCAUGAAAUGUCGAUGCACUUUGUGAUGGAAAUAGAGAUCUUUGAUGUGUGGGGGAUUGACUUCAUGGGUCCCUUUGUGAAUUCUUAUGGGAUGAAAUAUAUCUUGGUGUUUGUGGACUACAUGUCCAAAUGGGUUGAAGCCAUUGCUUUGCCAAACAAUGAGGUGAGUAGUGUGACCGCAUUUUUGAAGAAGAACAUUGUCAAUUGGUUUGGCACCCCUAGAGACAUUCUUAAUGAUGGUGAAUCGCACUUCUGCAGCAGAGCUUUUGCGGGGUUACUUGAAAAGUAUGGUGUCAAGCACAAGGUGGACGUACCUUAUCAUCCGUAGUCGAGUGGUCAAGUUGAGGUUUCCAACCCGAAGAUCAAAAAUAUUCUAGCAAAAAAUAUGUACGCAAAUAGGUCCGACUGAUCAAGAAAGCUAGAUGAUGCAUUGUGGGCAUACCGUACGACCUACAAAACUCUUAUUGGUACUUCUACUUACCGGCUCAUAAUUGGUAAAGCAUGUCAUCUACCCGUGGAGUUAGAACACAAAGCCAUGUGGGCAUUGAAGAAGUUGAAUCUUGAAUGGGCUGAGGCAGCAAAUUUGAGGUUGACACAACUCAAUUAACUGGAGGAAUUCUGGUUCCAUGCAUAUGAAAGUGCGGCUGUAUACAAAGAGUGGAUGAAGUUUGUCCAUGACAAAAGAUCUUGAAGAGAGAGUUCAAGGCGGGUGAUUUGGUCUUGCUCUUUAACUCGAGGCUCAAAUUGUUUCCGGGCAAUCUUAAAUCAAAAUGGUCCAGUCCCUUCAAAGUGGUAAAUGUCUCCCCAUAUGGAGUGGUGGAACUAGAAUCAAUAGACGAGUCCUGGACUUUCAAAGUAAAUGGCCGACGCAUCAAACAUUAUUUGGGCAUUGAUGGUGAAAAGCAUUUGGUGGAGCAGCUAGCUCUCAAAAAUGGUCCUUGACCGACCACUGAGUGAAAUUGAAGGAACAUCAACCCCGUCAUGCCGCAACGUUAAAUCAAGUGCUUAGUGGGAGGCAACCCAUGAGAGGUAACACAUUUUCUCUCUCUGCAUUUUUCAUUGUUUUUAUAUUUACAAUAUCUGUUGGAGUACAAAGAUUUUAAAAGAUCUCAACACUUGGUGAAAAUGCAUGAAAAAUACAAUAUCUGUUGGAGUACAAAGAGUUUAAAAGAUCUCAACACUUGGUGAAAAUGCAUGAAAAAGUGAAGGAAAAUCAUAGUGUCAAAAAUGCGGUGGAAAUGCAGUCGCAGAAUUAAUCUGCGGCUUGCAGAUCCACCGUAGAUAUAGUCAGAGAACAGCCAAAAUUGGCAGUUGUAAAUGCGGCAAAAAUGUUCAUUCUACGAUUCACAUGUUGACUCUGCGACUGCAUAUUUGACCGCAUUUGAGGCCUUUCAAAUUCCUUCAUAUCCCACAUCGCCGAACACAUAUGCAAUUGUAUAGUGUGUUAUGUGAUGCUUUGUCCAUCGCAGAUCUCUCCGCAGAUUCGCCAGGUACGUCUCCUAUACACUUCGCUUCAAAACAAAACAAAAAAAAACUAGAAAAGAAGAAAAUGAAAGAAAACAAAACAAAAUGAAAAAUAGAAAAAAGGCAAGGAAGUCUGAUCGAACCCAAGCAAGGACAAUCACCAAACACACCAACAACGCUAUAAUUGACAUUUGUGCAGUGAACCUGGUAUGUGAAUAUCCUCAACUCUUUCAUUCAAAACUCGUGUGCAAAGGUUUGGUCUAAGUUAGUUUGUGUGGUUUAUUUUUGUUAAAUGUGCUCGAUUUUGGGCUAAGCAUGAUGUGGGGAAUGGGAUUGAGCAAAAAUUGGGUAGCCAUUGCAGGAGACUAGAGUUUUCUUCUGAGAAUGAUGAGUUCUGCGGUCCGCAUGUCUGAUAUGCGGACCGGAUUGUGGUCGCAGACCAAAGCCUAGGUCACUUGGAGAAGAUGAAGAUUUGCGGUCAUUCUGCGAUUGCAAAAUUAUUAUGCGCUCCGCAGAAUGUCCGCAUAAUGGACUCCUUGGGCUAAGCAAAAUGGUGAAAAUGCGCUGGAGAAUGGGGUCUCAGAAUUUAUAUGCGGAAUGCAUAUUUACUGUAGAUUGAAACAGAGAACUGAAAAAUUUGAAGUUUAAAAUGUUCAUUUUGCGAUGAUUCUGCAGUACAUAGUUGUUAUACGACCGCAUUAUGCAUCGCAGAUUGACCAACUUGUUGGACAUGCAUGUCUGCAGUGAUUAUGCGGUCCGCAGGGGAAAAGCAACCAACCAUGGAGAAAUGACCAAGGUAAUUCUAAACAAGGAAAUUGGAACAACAACAACAACAACUUUGCAAACCUGAGCUCCAACCCUUAUGUUCCCUCGAAAGGUCAUUAUGGAAAUCAAGGGUCGUCAAGUGAUUCGAAGUUAGAAACCAUGCUUGAGAGAGUUUUGCUAAAUCAAGAAACGUCAGACGUAUCCAUGAGAAACAUGAUUGAGGUGGCUGGAUCUCAUACCGCAUCUAUCCAAAACUUGGAGACGCAAAUGGGAGACGUUUCACGAGAGCAAAACCCAAAGCAAAAAGGGCAAUUUCCUAGUGAUACCAGUGCGAACCCGAAGAGUGGAAGAGGUAGCUCAACCUCUCACGUCAUGGCGAUAACUACUAGAAGGUUCUACAAUGUUACAUUGAUCAAGAGGUUGUGGGGGAAGAAGACGAACAAGAAGUUGAAGCCGAAGAGCAAAUGGUUGUAGAAGUUUAGAGGGUACGGGAAAAUGAAAAAGUUCAAGAAGUGGUCAAAAAAGUGUUGAAGAAAAAGGAAAAAGAGAAGGAUACAUCAAAAACUCCAGCUCUUAUUCCUAGACCUGCUCCACCGUUUCCUUAAAGACUUGUAAGAAGUAUUGAAGAUAGCAAGCUUGAAAAAUUUUAUGAUAUCCUUAAGCAAUUGUCGAUGAACACUCCAUUCUUGGAGGCUUUCCAAGCAAUUCUAGGGUUUCCCAAAUAUUUGAAGGAGUUUAUCACCAAUAUGAGAACCACAAAGCAUGAGGUGGUGAACAUGACUCACCGGGUUAGCUCUAUCAUUUCCAAGAGCCCUACCCAAAAGAAAGAGGACCCGGGACCAUUUACCAUUCGAUGCACUAUCGGAGAGUGAGACUUUGCUAGAGCAUGCCAGGUUUUCGAUGCAGUAUAGUCUCUAAGCUUCCUCCACCAACUACCAUAAAGGGUGUUAGAAGUUUUCAAGCGCAUGCCAGGUUUUACUGGCGCUUCAUCAAAGACUUCUCAAAGAUCGCUAACCCCUUGUGAAAGGUCCUCGAUAAGGAUGCUAAAUUUGUAUUUGAUGAAAAGUUUCUUAAGGCUGUUGAGGAGUUGAAACUCAAGAUCACCACGACACCUAUUAUUGUCACGCCCGAUUGGUCUCUUCCUUUCGAGCUCAUGUGUAACGCAAGUGGUAAGGCUAUUGGAAAGAUGCUAAGUCAACGCCACGACAAGAUUCUUCAUCCGGUGUACUACACCAGCAAAACUCUCAAUGGAGCACAGGUAAAGUUCACAGUGACUGAGGAAGAGCUUCUGGCUAUUGUAUAUGAUUUUGAGAAGUUUCGAGCUUAUUUGUCGGGGUCCAAGGUGAUAAUGUAUACGAAUCAAGCGGCUUGUCGUUAUCUUAUGGCAAAGAAAUAUGCAAAUCCUUGGUUGAUACGAUGGGUCUUGCUGUUGUAAGAAUUUGACUUUGAAUUCAACGAUCGCAUGGGAACGCAAAAUCAAGUGGCGGAUCAUAUUCCAAGGCUUGAGGAAGUAGGGAUACCACAGGGUGAUCUUGAAAUCAAUGAUGCUUUUCCAGAUGAGCAAAUAUUGGCAUUGUCUAGCACCUUUGCUCCUUGGUAUGACGAUAUUGCUAACUAUUUGGUGAGUGGCCUUAUCCCUGAUAGUGUAGAAUCAUAUCAAAGGAAAAAGUUCUUGAUAUAUUGCCGGCAAUACUAUUGGGAGGAUCCAUACUUUUUUUGUGUUUGUGACGAGAAUUUUAUCAGAAGAUGAGUUCCUAAAGAAGAUAUGAUGUCAAUUCUCAAGGCAUGCCAUGACUCUCCGGUUGGGGGUCAUCAUGGAGGAAAUUGAACGGCGUUGAAAGUUCUUGAAUUUGGAUAUUAUUGGUUAUCCAUCUACCAUGAUUUCAAUCAAAUGGUCAAGGAUUGUGAUCAAUGUCAACGACAAGGUUCUAUUUCUAAGAGGCAUGAAAUAUCGAUGUAGUUUGUGAGGGAGAUAGAGAUCUUUGAUGUGUGGGGGAUCCACUUCAUAGGUCCCUUUGUGAGCCCUUAUGGGAUGAAAUAUAUCUUGGUGGUUUAUGAUUACGUGUCAAAAUGGGUUGAAGUCCUUGCCUUACAAAAUAAUGAGGUGAGUAGUGUGAACACAUUUUUGAAGAAGAACAUAUUCACUUGGUUUGGCACCCCUAGAGCCAUUCUUAGUGAUGGUGGAUCGCACUUCUGCAAUAGAGUUUUUGCGCGGUUACUUGAAAAGUAUGGUGUGAAGCACAAGGUGGCCAUACCUUAUCAUCCGCAGUCGAGUAGUCAAGUUGAGGUUUCCAACCAAGAGAUCAAAAAUAUUCUAGCAAAAACAGUGAACGCAAAUAGGACUGACUGGUCAAGAAAGCUAGAUGAUGCAUUGUGGGCAUACUGUGCGGUUAACAAAACUGCUAUUGGUACUUUUCCUUACCGGUGCAUCUUUGGUAAAGCAUGUCAUCAACCCGUGGAGUUAGAGCACAAAGCCAUGUGGGCAUUGAAGAAGUUUAAUCUGGAAUGGGCUGAGGCUACAAAUUUGAGGUUGACACAACUCAAUUAACUGAGGAAUUCCAGUUCCAUGCAUAUGAAAGUGCAGCUGUGUACCAAGAGCAGAUGAAGUUUGUCCAUGUCAAAAAUAUCUUGAAGAGAGAGUUCAAGACGGGUGAUUUGGUCUGAUCCCUUCAAAGUGGUAAAUGUCUCCUCGUUUGGAGCGGUGGAACUAGAAUCAACAGAAGGGUCCUGUACAUUCAAAGUAAAUGGCCAACACAUCAAGCAUUAUAUGGGCAUUGAUGCUCAGAAGCAUUUGGUGGAGCAGCUGGCUCUCAAAAUGGUCCUUGCCCGACCACUGAGUGAAUUUGAAGGAACAUCAAUCUCGUCAUGCCGUGACGUUAAAUCAAGCGCUUCAUGGGAGGCAACCCAUGGGUGGUAACACAUAUUUUCUCUUUGCAUUUUUUAUUUUUUUUAUGUUUACAAUAUCUGUUGGAGUGCAGAGAGUUCAAAAUAUCUCAACAGUUGGUGAAAAUGCAUGAAAACGUGAAGGAAAGCAUAGUGUGAAAAAUGCAGCGAAAAUGCGGUUGUAGAAUUGAUCAAUGGCCCGCUGAUCCACCGCAGACGUAGUCAGAAAAGAGCCAAAAUUGGCAGUUGGAAAUGCGAUAAAAAUUUCAUUCUACGAUUCGCAUGUUGACUCUGCGAACGCAGAUUUGACCGCAUUUGAGGCCUUCUAAAUUCCUUAAUAUCCCACAUCGCAGAACACAUAUGCAAUCGCAUAGCGUGCUAUGCGAUGCUUUGUCCACCGCAAAUUUUCCAGGUACGUCUCCUAUUCACUUCGCUUCAAAACAAAACAAAAAAAACUAUAAAAGAAGAAAACGAAAGAAAACAAAACAAAAUGAAAAAAUAGAAAAAAAGGCAAGGAUGUCUGAUCGAACCCAAGCAAAGACAAUCACCAAACUCACCAACAACUCUCUAAUUGACAUUUGUGCACAAUGGUUUGGUCUAAGUUAGUUUGUAUGCUUGAUUUUUGUUAAAUAUGGUCAAUUCUGGGCUAAGCAUGAUGUGAGGAAUGGGAUUGAGCAAAAAUAGGGUAGCCUGUAGGAUACUAGAGUUUUCUGCUUAGAAUGAUGACUUCUGGGGUCCGCAUGUCUGAUAUGUAGACCGCAUUCUGGUCGUAGACCUAACCCUAGGUCACCUGGAGAAGAUAAAGAUCUACGGCCAUUCUGCGAUCAAAACAUUUUUAUGUGGUCCGCAGAAUGACCGCAUAAUCGACUCCUUUAUUGGCUAAGCAAAAUGGUGAAAAUGCGGUGGAGAAUAAGGUCUGAGAAUUGAUCUCAUAUCUACUGCAGAUUGAAAUAGAGAAUUGAAACUUUUGAAGUUUAAAAUGUUCAUUCUGCGAUGAUUGUGCAGUCCGCAUAGUGGUUGCGCGAAUCGCAGAUUGAACAACUUGUUGGACAUGCAUGUCUGCAGUGAUUAUGCGGUCCGCAGAGUGGUUUUGCGGCCGCAGAAUAGACAACAUUUUGAACUUUUCUUUUUAAAUUCAUCUGUUUCUUCUCUCAAGGUCUUGACAUUGUUAUUCCACCCUUGUGCAGAUAUGUCUCCCCGAUAGAAACGAGCAGCGACUAAGCCUCCAAAGGCAAAGAGACAGAAAGGUGAACCCGCGCAACAACAACCCUCUUAGUCUAACGAGGAGGGGCUUUGCCUUGAGGUUGAUAUAACGGCUGAAGCCACGCGAAAGCAACAAGCUGAAGGUGCUAAAUAUCCUCUCCGCUGGGGAGUCGAGGGUUCUAGAUAGAGGUACAAAGAAGGGCUUCUCAGGAGAUAACUCCUACCCGAGAGGCAAUUUAGCCUGAAUGGGUUAAAGGAGAAGUACCCCCACAUCCUUGCUAACAUCAAGCGUAGGAAAUGGUUUGAUUUCACUAAGCCGCCCGCUGAGUACAAUGAAUCAAUGGUGCAUGAGUUCUACGCAUCUUACGGGGCAUCUAGACUAAGCACCAUAAGCACCAUUGGAUGUAUCUAGAACAAGUGGAAGUUCGGGGAUUCACAGUCAAAUGCAGUGCUAAAGCAAUAAACAAAUUACUUGUUCCUGUCUUUGAAGAGAGCACAGCAGGCACAAAAGAAUAUGAUGCCAAGUUAGCGAACAAAGAGGAUGAGCGUGGGUGGAUUGCCUCAGUCAUUGCCAAUGGGACACCUACAUGGAUAAACCUCGGGACCAAGAUAUACAAAGAGAACUUCUCACAUGAGGGAUGCUUUUGUCUUACCUUCCUCACAUCCAGAUUGAUCCCUACUCAGAACGAAAUAGAGAUUGCCAUUGUGAAGGUCCUCUUGAUAGCCUGCAUCGUGCAAGGCAUCAGAUAGAUGUAGGGUCGAUUAUUUUUCGGGAGAUGAGUAAAAGAGCCAUGCAAGAGGCUACAUCUCUUCCAUUCCCAUCAUUGAUCGCUGCACUGUGCCAAUCUGAAAAUAUCCUGGUGGAUGAACGGAAAGCUAAAAAGGCUAGGCAGUCGGGGAUUAUUGACAUCAACCAUCUAGGUGACGCUGGGUGCCUCCAGUAGUGAUAUUCAGGAGGAUCACCCUUCACACUAUACGUCUCAGACUCUUCCGACCAAUGAUGUAGAGUCAUCCACUCCUCGGUCUGUAUCUCAGUCUACUCCUACUCAGCCUGCCCGUGCUCAGGCUCCCCUAGCUACCCCAUUUGUCUCCAAGAUUGUUCUAUUUGCCCAACAUGCAGAGGCCAAAGUGGACCAAUUUUUGAAGAUAUUUCCAAACAUGAUAAAGCAAGCCUUGACUCCAAUGCAAGCGGUCGUGGCAGAUAUUCAGCAGAAGCAGUAAGCCUAUGCGGAGCAUUUGAAUGGAAUUGAGUUGCGGGGGGAGAAAGUAGAGAGAGGUGGGGACAAUGCAUCACUUUCAGUAAGGGGUGGGCAGGUAGCAUUGUAUGACUUUUUUGUUGUGAAUAUAGCUGGAAACUCAUGUACUUAAGCGUAUCAUGUAUUUGUGUACAUUGGUAUAACUUUGGUAUAUGAGUGAUGUUAUGCUGUUGUUUUUUAUUUCUGUUGUUGAAUUCGUGUUUGUUAAUAUCAGUUUGUGAAUCAAUUACCCUUGGUUUUUCUUUUUCUGGUUCUUAUCCAAGGGUGUAAUAGUAGAAUCAGGAUCUUAGGUGUAACUCAUUGUGACCGACUUGGUGUAAUUGCCUAGUAUCGAGCAUGUGUAUUUGGACAUAGCACAUACCCUCUUAUAGUCAUUCUUGUCAACUUUUCCCACUGAUAGAUAGACUGAUGACUGUCAUAAGGGAAUUUGUCUCUAUGAUCAAUUCUGUGAAUCUGAGGCUCGCUCUAUGACUUUAUGGCAACCCAGAGUUAUACUUGUGUUUAUGAUGAAUGCUUUGAAUUGCAGAAUGGUUACCCAAAAGUGUCAAAUCAUGUGAAUGAAACAUUUCAUGCACCAUGUGUUUGAGUUCUCUGUUUGUAUAUAAUUCUUGUGUUUCCUUCUGUCAUCUAGAACUUGGCCAGUUAGUCUUUCUAUGCAAAUGAUAGUAUGUUUGGUUGGAGGAAGGUUCUUAGGCAUUUGUUGUGAUUAUGUGCAAAACCUCUUUAGCUUUGAAUCCUACCCGUGCAUAAAGGAUACCACUAGCACCCAAUUUGAGCCUUUUAACCUUUCUUUGGCCAACUCAUUACAAACCUUUCCCAUUUUGAAAAGAAAUUUCCUCUCUUGAACCCAUCGCUCUUUGAACAUUGAGAAUGAGGCUAGAAGCCUAAGUUGGGGGUAAGGUCAAAGUGGAAGAUCGUUAAGGUUGUAUGUGAGUUUAGGGCAACAUGCCUCAAAAUAGUUUGUGAAAUUGUUCAAGCUCCAAAAAACAAAUGAUAACCAAAAGCAAGAGAAGAAAAAGAGAAAGAAAAUAAAAAUCUAAUAAUGCAUAUGUUUACAAAAUUGGGAGUCUUGAACAUUAAUGAAAAGGUAUGUAAGGUAGCUCUAUACAUGAGGCUAGACGAAAACAAAGAUAUGGGGGUUUGGAAGGGAGUGCAAAAAAAUGGUAAAAUGUGGUUAGUGUUCAAAGAGGGUGAAGUCACUUGUACCCAAAUGUUUAUCCAACCCAUCCCUGAACCUCCAUAACAAAGCUCCAAAAAAAAUGAUGAUCAAAAGCAAGAGAAGAGAAAGAAAAAGAAAAGAAAAUAUAAUAAUGCUUAUAUUUACAAAAUUAUGAGUCUUGAAGAACAAUGAAAAGGGAUGUAACAUAGCUCUAUACUGGAGGCUAGACGAAAACAAAGAUAUGGGGGUUUAAAAAGGAGUGCAAAAGAAUGGUAAAAUGUUAUUAGCGUUCAGAGAGGGUGAAGUCACUUGUACCGAAAUGUUUAUCCAACCCAUCCUUGAACCUACAUUACAAGCCAAAAAGCCCUUAUGAGACCUCCAACCGAACAUUCUUGAAUAAGUGGCAAAUUAUAAUAAGGAAAGCCUGUGGUAAGACAUGUUGCAGCACUUGUAGUUCUUUCUGAGAGUGAGUGUUUUUAUAUGAUCCUGCUUUGUUGUCCUUGUAAAUAUUGUGUUUUCUUGGACUUUCUUUCUGGUAAGGGUAUAUGAACUGUGGAAUUGAACUGAAGUUGAGCUUUUUGAGUCAAAUGGAAGUGCGCACAGCUGAGGGUAACAUCUAGUCACAAUGUUGAGGCUCAGAGUUCACAAUGAUUGAUUAGUUUUAUCUGUACAUACUUCUAAUCUAGGAAGGGUGAAGCAAUUGUAAAUGCAUUCUUUAAUUACUAGCAAUGAACACCACCCUUAGUCACUAUUGUUUUGUAUUUGUAAAUAGAGUUUAAAAUAGGCUAUGUAUGUAUCACUUGGUUGAGAACAAGCAAGAGUUUAAGUUGAGGGUGUUGAUAUGCCGAAGAAUUUCGGCAUAUUUCAAUAUUAUUUGCUUAGAUUAUAGCUUGUUUUAAUGCAAUUAUAACUUAUACUCAUAUAGAUUUGUUGUUCGUACAGCACAAGAGGAAGGGAAGACCAAUGAUAUGAAAAUGGAAGCAAAAAGAGAAUAAAAGAGCAUAAUAUUGCAUAAGUGCAAACCUGCGUCCCAUUCUGCGGUCGCAGAUCACACAUGCGGACCGCAGAAUUGUAUCUCAAAUUGCCAAACAUUACAGAGUCUGGAGCUAAAAACCAUGUCGAGAAUGCGGCGCAAUAUGCGAUCGCAGAAUCAACAUGUAGAUCGCAGAUGUGCCGUAGAACGAACAAGAAGAAAACUCAGGGUCAAAAAUGCGGUGCAAUCUGCGGUCACAUAAUUCAAAUGCGAAUCGCAGAAUGGAACUGCGAUGAAGGCCUGACAACUAGGGUUUUGGAUCUGCAGAGAGGCUAUUCAAAAUGCAGACCGCAGACCUAUUAUGCGACAAGCCUGCGAUCGCAAACGUGACUGAAAGGGCAAACUUGUCCAUUUUCUGUCGUGAAAUUGGUCCCACUGUAAAUAGCUUUAAGAGACCUUUGUGGGAUCAUCUUGUCUGACUUUUAAGCUACAUUCUAUCACAUUAAUAUUCUCUCUUUUUGGAAGCUUUUGGGUGAAGAUUCCCUCCAUUGUAAGCAUUUAUGACAUUUAUUAUUAGUUGGUUUUUGUGUUUUAGCAUGUGUAGCUAGUUUUAAAUACUAAGGUUGUGCACCCUAAAUGAGUGUUAUGUUAAUGGGUGUUUAACAUUGAAUAUAUA